rnacentral:rRNA from 1 species
UACGUAGGUCCCGGGCGUUGUCCGGCUUUAUUGGGCGUAAAGCGAGCGCAGGUGGUUUAUUAAGUCUGGUGUAAAAGGCAGUGGCUCAACCAUUGUAUGCAUUGGAAACUGGUAGACUUGAGUGCAGGAGAGGAGAGUGGAAUUCCAUGUGUAGCGGUGAAAUGCGUAGAUAUAUGGAGGAACACCGGUGGCGAAAGCGGCUCUCUGGCCUGUAACUGACACUGAGGCUCGAAAGCGUGGGGAGCAAACAGG